rnacentral:ncRNA from 1 species
AUAAAGGCAGUGAAGAGAAGAGUACAUGAAGGACGCUGGCAAAGAGAGCUCCACCCGGUGAGAAGGAGUGCAGACGAAUCCAUGGAAGAUGGCCUCUGAGCCUGGCAUGCUGAAUGAUGAAGCAGCCCGGGAUCUCCCGAUAUAGAGACAAGGUAUCAAGGCCAUAGCCGGCGUACCUCAUAAGGUGUCCCGAAGUGAUUCGGACAUAAAAUUGGGUGGUAACACGAAGUAUCUCGUCCCUUUC